rnacentral:rRNA from 1 species
UACGAAGGGGGCUAGCGUUGCUCGGAAUCACUGGGCGUAAAGCGCACGUAGGCGGACUCUUAAGUCGGUGGUGAAAUCCUGGAGCUCAACUCCAGAACUGCCUUCGAUACUGGGAGUCUCGAGUUCGGGAGAGGUGAGUGGAACUGCGAGUGUAGAGGUGAAAUUCGUAGAUAUUCGCAAGAACACCAGUGGCGAAGGCGGCUCACUGGCCCGGUACUGACGCUGAGAGACGAAAGCUAGGGGAGCGAAUGGG